rnacentral:rRNA from 1 species
UACGGAAGGCAGCAGUGGGGAAUAUUGCACAAUGGGCGAAAGCCUGAUGCAGCUAUGCCGCGUGUAUGAAGAAGGCCUUAGGGUUGUAAAGUACUUUCAUCGGGGAGGAAAAACAAAACUAAUAAUUUUAUUUCUUGACGUUACCCGAAAAAGAAGCACCGGCUAACUCCGUGCCAGCAGCCGCGGUAAUACGGAGGGUGCUAGCGUUAAUCAGAAUUACUGGGCGUAAAGAGCACGUAGGUGGUUUUUUUAAGUCAGAUGUGAAAUCCCUGGGCUUAACCUAGGAACUGCAUUUUGAAACUGAAAUACUAGAGUAUCGUAGAGGGAGGUAGAAUUCUAGGUGUAGCGGUGAAAUGCGUAGAUAUCUGGAGGAAUACCUGUGGCGAAAGCGGCCUCCUAAACGAAUACUGACACUGAGGGUGCG